GCUGAAGUUAAAGCUCCCCAUCUAUCCAGCUGAGAUGUCCUUCUCCUUCACUCCGUGACCUGUUUUGUCCCAGUGACAGAGUUGCAGCACUCAGCUCUGCGGCCGUUGUUGAGCAGGAAUCCAUCCAGUGAGGAUCCUUGAUGAAUGCGCUUGGGCAGGAUGGAGGGACGAGCGUACCUGUGUCCUCCCACAGAGACUCACGGCUGGCAGCCGAGGGGGGGAGGGGUGUGAUUAUUAGAGGAUCUUGUUGCAACACCUCUCCCCAUGAGUUGUGGUCUGUGAACCAUGUUAUCACCACAGGAAAAGAAUGCACUUUGGAAAGUGAGGACUAAGAAGCAGGAAAGCCUGAACGCAGCUUGCUCAUCACAAGCAUUGAAAACUGGGGCAUGUUUUGGAACAGGAAAGGUUAAGCAUCAGCAUGGAUGUUGGGUUUGGCACUGUAAAUGAGUCUGGGCUGGCUGACACUGAUGACUGUGAGCUACCAUGAACGUGUGAAUACGGUUGGCACUGGAUGUUAAUUAGAGCAUGAGUCCUCCUCUAUCACCUCAUUGUAUCCUCAGCUCUGACUUGGGCAUACAGGCUUUUUAUGGGGGGAGUGGGAUGUCCCUUUGAGUAACAGCGGAAAUCAGAUCCAUAUGUUUAAGUGCCUGUGCAGCUUUUCUAGCCAAAGCCAACUGCUGCUUAGAGGCACUUGAGGAUCACAAACUGAGAAGCCUGUUUGGAAAUGGUUAUUUUGUUCCACUAUGAAACAAUAAAUUGAGGAGAUUUUCCUGUCUCUUCUUUCAUGGAGAUCUUGGCCCAGGAAGAGGACAGUGACUGUUUCAAGAAGUUGGAGAGAUCCCUAAAAUUUCCCUAUCCCAAGCGACCACAGAUGAUCCUGGAAUGAGGAAAUGUUACUGAACCUCCAUUUUUUUAAAUCAAGGCUCUUCAUGAAGUCUCAGGAAACAAGGCCAUUCUCUGAGGCACCAAUAGACCAUCAGCAACAGGCUGCAUGCAUAGCAGAGGUGUUGGCAUUGCACCUCUGUGCCAUGUAGGGUAGGUCUUGUGUGUGCUAGGACAUCAUCUUGGAACAUGGAAGAGACAAAACUCGCUUGUGUUUGUCAAGUUUUAAAGGAAUGAAUAUCAAAACCACUGAAUGCAGACAGGCGCCAAGGUUAUUUCUGGCUUACUUGUUACUGGAAUAAUGAUAGACAGUUUUGGUUGUUUAAUACGAUUACUUUAAUCCUGGAAUGAAGGAUCUUCAAAAGGUUUCUGUCGGCAUACACAAGAGAAACCUCAUUCCUGGAAGGUUGAAAAGUGUGGCUAGAAUACAAAGAUCUGCCUGCAGAGCUGUGCACUGAAGCGUAUCUAUCUCCUGACAGAAGUGGCUUUCAUGGCAUCAAAGACUUUCACCACAGAAAAGCAGAAAGCAUCACCAAGUGUGAAACCCUGCAGAACAUUGUUUGACUUUGUCCUUCCUUUGCUCAGGAACAAAACAAGGCACACAGCAAACAUAUUAAAAGAAUAUAUUCAAGAUCCUUUUGGCUUUCUUGUGUUCCUUAUAGAGUUUGGACUCAAUGAUCCUUGUGGCUCCUUUACAACUCAGAAUAUUCUAGGAUUUUCCUUCCACCAAAAGCUUCAUUGUAGGCUACCCCUGUGAAAUGGGUGCUGUGAUUAAUGGGGCUUUCUCCCACCUCUCUUGAGGAUGAGGAUGAUUAAUGGAGUAAGGUAGAGAGCCUCGUAUUUGAUUAAUACAUGCACCUUCUGAGCUGAUGUUCAGACCCACCUCGGAUACUCAGUGAAAUACACACAGAGGUGUUUGUGAGGGGGGAGACCUCAGUUUGUACAGUUCUCAAGGUUUUCCUCUUUGCUUCAGUGUUAAAGUGGGCUUGUAUCCCCAUAUAAUCCUAAAAUCCUUUCAGUCCUAGUUGGUCUUGAGUGAUAUUCCCUGUGGAAAUCCCACCAUGGGGCUGAGAUGGAUGGUGGAAUUGAGAGAUACAUCUGGGUGGGCUCCACGCCCCAGGGUCUGGACUUCCAGAAACAGGACAUCACAAUGGGGAGCAGAAACCGUGACCUGCGCUGACGUAUACAAAGAGAGCACUGGGCAGA